ensembl:lncRNA
UUACUUAAAGCACACAAAUAGAAAAUAGCUUAUAUGCAUUGUUAAACAAAACAAGACAUGGACAAAAAGCAAAGCACACAAAUAGUUUCUUUUUGAAAUGUUUGAAAUCACAGAAAGAAUACAAACAUAUUUUUUUUUUUACAUGAUUCUUUCAAUGCUUAGACUCAGACGGUGAGGGAAGAGAAAACAGCCUGUACAUGCUGACGGAGGAUCAGGUCCUGGCAUGAAACAAUCUGAUAUCAGUAUAAACAGACCUCCCUCAAGGCAACAGUACUGAGUCUCUGUUGAAAUAGUUGGAGGUAGCAGGCGUAGCAGAGGUUGGCUGUAAAGUGAUAUUACUGCAUCAUGAAAUAUAACAAUCAAACUGGUGUAGAUCUUUUGCUUUUCCUUAAACCUGUCCAUAUGUUGUGCUGAUGGGUUAUCACUGAAACUGGUGUAAAAUGGAAAGACUCUUCUUAUAGGGACGUUAGUGAGAUUAUACUAUAUUUUAUGGACUAUGUCACAGUUUUUUGCAGUAGUUUUGUCCUACAUCCACUGUAGCUUGUCAGAACCUCCUGACCUGUAUUAGAUGGUACUGUACUCUGUUAUUUUGUGCUUUGGGGUACAGACUGCAGAUCUACAAGGUUCAAAUACAAUCUUGUGCUCCAAGAAAUGGACAAAUUCCACUGGUCAACUCUUCUCUAAUUCUAGAAUUACCCAAAUAGUACUGGAUAUCAACUUUCUAGAACCUGAAAUUUGAAAUGUCUGACUCCAUUAUGUUUUUACUUUAGUUUAUGCAAAGAUAACACACAUAUACUGUAGAUUUCCAUCAGUGCAAUCAAGAAUAACAAAUAACUUCUAUCAUAAUUGUUCCUAGAUCAACAUUAAAUAGCUAUUUAAAACUCUAGUUUACAAACAAGGUAUAUAAUGUAUAUACAAGGUAUAUAUUUUAAAUAUACAAACAUCUACAAAAAGAUCCAGUUCCAUCAUUUGGAGAGUCCCGUGAAAACUUUAUGGUAAAACAAUCAAUAUAAUCUAGACAGUGAGAAGAGGCACUAAGAUCACUGAUCUCAAAAGAGUCCUGAGUGAGUUUAUAGCUACUCCACAGCCAUUUACGACAUCAUUUCAGAGAACACUGAUAAACUACAAAAUGAAGAUCAAUUGUGUAUGUGCUGAUUGACUGAUAAUGUAAAUGUUCAUCCUCUCAUUCACUUUUGACAUUGUUGAUCUAAUAAUUCUAGAUCUUGAUUUUUAAUGAAAAAACUUUAAUGAGUCAAACUUUACCAGUAAUGAAUGAAAUCAACUCAUGCAAUCUCUAAAGUAAGAACAAUUAUUAAUUAUCCAAAUAAAUCAUUUAAAGGCAUAGU